GCGCAAGGUGUCAGUCCUUCAUACCUGAUGAUGUUUCAAAGAUGAUACUUGAAGCACAACCAGCAAAACCAUUCAAGGUGAUGAGGAUGCAAUGUGAAGACUUCAGGCACCUCCCAGAUUCUGUCCUCAAGCGACCAGCUGGACUACAGAUCACCUCAGUGAGGUGGUUAAAAGUCACAGUUGAGGAUCCUUGGAAUCUGUACGCCAAACAGAGCCAGUCUAUUUGAGGGAUGGAAGUCGUGGCUGAUCUCCAAACCAAAACAAGGAGCUACACCUCAACCUCCCUAUUUUGCAAUCCACUACCCUAGAGCAUAUGAGAGUCCUCUGCCCAUCAAAAAAAAACAAGUACCAAGAUCUGAUGACCAUGCUCAACUACUUGCCAGCUGCUGCACGCUCUUUUUAUGAAUCACUGCAGAGUGAAUAAUUUGUUGUUAAACCAAGCUACAUAAUUAAACGUUUUUUCUGUGAGUUUAUGAUCCCCUGAACCUGUAUACUGUAGUAUGUUGAAUCUGUAUACAUUUCACCCCUAUUGUAGGAAAUUAAUGUAUCGUAGGUGUUUUCUAUGUGAAUCAAUUUGUGUAUGAUUUGAACCAGCACAAUAUAUUGAAUUAAUUUAAUUUUAAGAUGUUGUUCCUAGUGUAGGAAAUGUUAUGUACAAUGUGUUCUGUUGAUAAUUAUUUUGUGUGAUCAUUUGAACCUUUUUUAAUCUGAAUGAAUUAAAAACAAAUAAGUCAUCACAUACAGUAUGUGAGUAUUCAUUUGAUCUUGAUUCCCUUUUUUUAUUCAUUACAAUAUACACUGUCUCUGUCACCACAUUUAGCAUUAACUCUAAGCAGUUAAUACUUAUUUACUGCUGUCACCUCAGUGCAGAAGGACAUUUCUUGCCUUUAGCAUGGGUUUAACACAAUUCACAACUUAAUUGCUGAUCAUAGUGUUAAACACAAAGAGAAUGGUUUUCUGAACGUUUUGUAAUAUUGACCUUCGGGACCUGCAUAAUGGACAUGCAUAUUGGCACAUCACAUUUAUCCCUAUUUGAUAUUUACAAGUUGUGCUUGUUUUGAUUGAAUUAAUUUAAUUGUAUUCUAUUUUGGUAGUUCUAUGGUAUGUUCACAUUGAGGGCUUCAUUUUAAAUGAGACAGAUUUCAUGACUCAACUUUUAAGAAUAGUCAUCAGUGCUAAAGUUAAUAGACCACCUUUAAAUGAACCUCCAUACAAAUGAAUUAACUGCAUAUUGCAUUUAAGUUAUUUACAUGAAGGGCAUAUGUACUUCAAAGUACUUAAAACAUCAUAUCAGGUGUU